UGUUGAUGCAAUCAGUACAGAAACAAAUGUAUAUGCAGUCACUUAAUGUAUUUAUUAAGCAGUUAUAUAAAAACUUGAUUUACAAACAUUUUAAAUAGAUGUACAGAAUAUCAACGCAAAUUGUUAAUUGAAAACAAAAUAAACUAUAAUUUGAUUCAUCAUGCAAUGUGGCCUAGCUUUAUCAUCUGCUCUAACAUGAACCAAAUUCAACAUAAUUCAUCAACUAAGUUAUACUAAGUUAAUGUUACGUAGUCAUCAAGGAAUAUACAAUACACCUUUUGCUUUGUACAACUUUUAACAAACGUUUUUCCUCCUGAUUGCGGUAAAAACCACGCGAUCCGGCGUCAGCUCCUCGAAACUGCUUCCCUUGUUGUUUUUCCAUGAAGUAACGUUAACGUUAAAGCUGAAAAAAAAAAAAAAACCUUUUUCCGUUGUUCAGUUUCCUCCAUAUACGAUCGUGUGACCUGCUGUGGCAGUUCUCUAACGUUAGAUCGAGGAGCACUGACCAACCAUAUCGACGUUUAUUAAAAUCUCGACAGAAAAUCCAAACACAGCCUCCUACACUAAAAUUCAAAUACAACGGUAUUAUUUAGGGUGUAAAUAUGUAGAUCCUGUAAAUAUGUCGGUGGACCCAUGAUACGGCGUGACGUCACCUUAUCAACGCAGCUCCGCCCAUUCAACUUCUGUUAGUUUAGUGCAGAGCAGAUGUGCUUGCUUGGCUUCAUCAUCAACACCCACACUGUGUCGAGCGCGGUUUCUGUCUGAUGCUGAUGAACACUGUCGUCAAAGAGAAAAGGAUGUUUCUUUUCGAUUAAUCCGGAGAGGGGGACAAAAGUGGAACGAACAAAAGCAACACGGUUGCAUGUUAAUCCAAAAGUCUUUACCUUGAUUCAGGACCUCUCCGACCAUGAAUGGCGAGCCGUUUAAAAAGGUGUUUUUUCAAUUGUGUGACUGCGAACCCCCAUAUCUACUUUGUUUGUGGGCCAAUAUUAACGGUCACAUUUUUCACACACCCUCUCUCUCUCCUCUUCCUUAUUCACUAAAUUUUUCAACAAUAAAUUGGAAUUC